rnacentral:tRNA from 1 species
GCCUGGCUAGCUCCAUGGGUAGAGCAUGCAACUUCUGAUCUUGGGGUUGUGGGUUUGAGCCCCACGUUGGGUA